rnacentral:rRNA from 1 species
CUAGAGAUAGAGUUUUCCUCGUCGGAGGACAAAAUGACAGGUGGUGCAUGGUUGUCGUCAGCUCGUGUCGUGAGAUGUUGGGUUAAGUCCCGCAACGAGCGCAACCCUUGAGCUUAGUUGCCAUCAGUAAGUUGGGCACUCUAAGUUGACUGCCGGUGACAAACCGGAGGAAGGUGGGGAUGACGUCAAAUCAUCAUGCCCCUUAUGAUUUGGGCUACACACGUGCUACAAUGGACAAUACAAAGGGCAGC